AGGACGAACGCUGGCGGCGUGCUUAACACAUGCAAGUCACGGGGGCCCGCAAGGGUAACCGGCGAACGGGUGCGUAACACGUGAGCAACCUGCCUUUGUGUGGGGGAUAGCCGGGCUAACGCCCGGGUAAUACCGCAUACGGUUGCCGGAGGGAGUCCCUUAGGCAAAGAAACCUCCGGGGCACAGAGAGGGGCUCGCGGCCUAGUCCAGCUAGUUGGCGGGGUAAUGGCCCACCAAGGCGACGACGGGUAGCU
rnacentral:rRNA from 1 species